UACGAAGGGGGCUAGCGUUGCUCGGAAUUACUGGGCGUAAAGCGCACGUAGGCGGAUUGUUAAGUCGGGGGUGAAAUCCUGGAGCUCAACUCCAGAACUGCCUUCGAUACUGGCGAUCUCGAGUUCGGGAGAGGUGAGUGGAACUGCGAGUGUAGAGGUCAAAUUCGUAGAUAUUCGCAAGAACACCAGUGGCGAAGGCGGCUCACUGGCCCGAUACUGACGCUGAGGUGCGAAAGCGUGGGGAGCAAACAGG
rnacentral:rRNA from 1 species